UGUCCAGCACCUCCAGCGGGGAGAUCUCGGGUGCCGGCGUGUUGGGGCUGAAGGACGACGAGGGGAAGGGAGAGGAGAGCCACUUCUGCCGGGAGAAAGAGCAGCGGGGAGGCGAGGAAACGGAGCACAGAGAAGUUCUCUAACUUACCAAACAUCACCCAGCCAAGAAGGGGCGGAGCCGGGAUUAGAACCCACUCCUCCUUCAGAUUUCAAGGGACCCAUCACUUCCUUGGAGAAGCUUCUGCCAGCCACCCCUCAGCCAAGGUUCCUCUCCCUGUUGUCUGUUUCCAACACAUCGAACAUCUUCCUUUGCCA